UAUUCCCCACUGCUGCCUCCCGUAGGAGUCUGGGCCGUGUCUCAGUCCCAAUGUGGCCGUUCAUCCUCUCAGAUCGGCUACGCAUCAUCGCCUUGGUGGGCCGUUACCCCGCCAACUAGCUAAUGCGACAUGAACCCAUCCUGUCGCGUUGUAUCCCAACUUUAAUGUAUCAGGGAUGUCCCCGUUACACCUAUCCGGUAUUAGCAGUCUUUUCAAACUGUUAUCCCUGUCGUCAGGGUAGGUUGUUCAUGUGUUACCCACCCGUUCGCCACUAAGUUACCGAAGUAACUUCGUUCGACUUGCAUGUAUUAGGCACGCCGCCAGCGUUCAUCCUGAGCCAA
rnacentral:rRNA from 1 species